AAGCCGAGGCGCAGAGCGUAGGCGAUGGACAUCAGGUUAAUAUUCCUGAACCGGUAUAUACUUGUAUGCUAUUCACGGCGAGAUAUCCGGAGCGGAUUCAUGGUUUAUCCGUCCAACCUCGCGGGAACGCGAAGGGAGUGAAAGUUACCCUUUUGGGUGACGAUUCUGGAGAAGGCGCUGGCAAGAAAAGUAGACAUACGCGUGGUAUAUGCCGCCCGUACCGCAAACCAACACAGGUGCUCGAGUCGAGUAGACUCAGGCUUACGAGAGAACCUUCGCUAAGGAACUCGGCAAUACAGCGACCGUAACUUCGGAAUAAGGUCUGCCCCCACUUCGGUGGAUAUGUUGUCAGUUUCAUAGCUCUAUAAGGUGUGGUUAAAGAGUAUCUUUAAUACAUCAAUUCUUCUUGAGAUAGAACCAAGCUUUGGAACUGAAGCUCAACACAUCUAGCGAUGUGGGGGCCGCAGCAAAAGAGCCCACGGAACUGUUUAUCAAAAACACAGCUCUCUGCCAACACGAAAGUGGAUGUAUAGGGGGUGACUCCUGCCCGGUGCUGGAAGGUUAAGGGGAGUGCUUUACGGUGCGAACUGAAGCCCCAGUGAACGGCGGCGGUAACUAUAACCGUCCUAAGGUAGCGAAAUUCCUUGUCAGGUAAGUUCUGACCCGCACGAAUGGAGUAAUCAUGUGGGCACUGUCUCAGCGAAGGACUCGGUGAAAGUGCAUUGGCGGUAAAGAUGCCGUCUGUCCAUACCAGGACGAGAAGACCCCAUGGAGCUUUACUACAGCUUUACAUUGAUCCGGGUUUCAACAUGUGUAGCAUAGUUGGGAGACUGCGAAGCAGAUACGCUAGUAUUUGUGGAGUCGCAAUGUGAAAUACCAACCUUGUUGUGAUCUUGAUCUCACUUGUGCCGUUAUCCGGUAUGAGGACCGUGUAUGGUGGGUAGUUUAACUGGGGCGGUUGCCUCCUAAAGAGUAGCGGAGGCGUUCAAAGGUUGGCUAGCUUCGGAUGGAAAUCGAAGUGAUAGUGUAUGCGCACAAGCCAGCUUGACUGUGAGGACUACAAUCCAAGCAGAGACGAAAGUCGGAGCAAGUGACCCGCUGUAUGUACUUUGUACAAUGUAUGUGGGAACGACAGCGCACACGGAUAAAAGUUACCCUGGGGAUAACAGGCUUAUAGCGCCCAAUAGUUCACAUAGACGGCGCUGUUUGGCACCUCGAUGUCGGCUCAUCACAUCCUGGAGGGGGAGCACCUUCCAAGGGUUCGGCUGUUCGCCGAUUAAAGUGGUACGCGAGCUGGGUUCAGAACGUCGUGAGACAGUUCGGUUUAUAUCCGGUAUGGACGUUAGGAAAUUUGAGAGGAUCUGCCCCUAGUACGAGAGGACCGGGGUGGACGCACCUCUGGUGUACGGAUUGUGGCCACCUGCUGCAUUGUCCGGUAGCUAUGUGCGGACCAGAUAAGCGCUGAAAGCAUAUUAAGCGCGAAACUGACCUCAAGAUGAGAUUUCCCUAUGAGGGCCGUGAAAGACGAUCACGUUGAUAGGUGCAAGGUGGAAGUGCAGUAAUGCAUGGAGCCGAAGCAUACUAAUCGCCCCAUUGCCUUUUUAU
rnacentral:rRNA from 1 species